rnacentral:rRNA from 1 species
CGCUACCUACGGGAGGCAGCAGUGAGGAAUAUUGGUCAAUGGGUGGUAGCCUGAACCAGCCAAGUAGCGUGAAGGAUGAAGGUUCUAUGGAUUGUAAACUUCUUUUAUAAAGGAAUAAAGUGAGGCACGUGUGCCUUUUUGUAUGUACUUUAUGAAUAAGGAUCGGCUAACUCCGUGCCAGCAGCCGCGGUAAUACGCAGGAUCCGAGCGUUAUCCGGAUUUUUUGGGUUUAAAGGGAGCGUAGAUGGGUUGUUAAGUCAGUUGUGAAAGUUUGCGGCUCCACCGUAAAAUUGCAAUUGAUACUG